rnacentral:lncRNA from 1 species
AAAGGUUUUGUGACUGCAAAUGAACUAAAUUGAAGGACAGAUGCAAACAGAAAUGUGAAAACAAAAAUGCAAACGGAAUCAAAUACAAAAUGAAAAUGGUUUCAGAGACAUAAUGGAAACAUUUGGUCAUUAACUUAAUUACAAUGCUUCCAAUCCCAGAUUAAAGACAAGUACACGCUACUCUAAUCCAAAUCCGACAUGAAUCACCCAACUAAGCGAAGGCUAAUUCGGUCUUCAAAAUUGCAGACUAAGCGAAUGCAAUGCACAAAUUUAAUUAGUCAUCCACCACACAGUCUAAUCAACUAAGCGAAGAAUUGACACCGAUUAGGCAAUGCGUAUACCUAAUCGCAGGCAGACAAUAGAUUAAAUAUUGAGUAGAAUCAGAGUAGCAGUUUGGAAAUUAAAGUGCAAGAAUCUCAUGGAAACAAAGUAAUUUUGUUAACAACCAACCAACUAACCUAAGCGAACAUCAAAGAUAAAUUAUCAAAAUCGAACAAAGUAAACAUCAUUAAAGUGGGGAUCAAAAUUAAAUAAAAACAACAAAAAGUAAGUAACUAAAGAAAAUAACCUAGCGACAUUUAAAAAUCCCCACAUUCUAUCUAAUGCAAAAUAGGCUUAGAAACAUAAACAAGGUGAAUAAAUAAAAGAAAGGAAAAAAAAGAAAAAAUAAAUAAAACUAGCCUACGGUGAUAAAUCAAGGGAAAUCAAAUUUUGAAUCUCGACAUGCAUAAUCAUAUUAAAUGCAAAUUUAUAAAUGCAUAUAACAUAUAACAUCAUAAAAAUUCAA